GAAUUUUCUCGACUACUGCACAACUUUUUACCAGAAUAACCACAGUAACCUGAUGUUGUAAAGAUUGUAACCAAUGACGUCACAGCUUCCAUUGUCAGCUAAUUCUCAUAUGUAAUCGGAGCAGAAUAUAAAUUAUACAUAUAUUCUGGAUUCCAGCCAAGGGAAGUUAACUCGUGAUUUGAAAAUUCAUACCUCAUUGAAUGCACGUGGAUGGCUGAUGGGUAUAUCUACUCAUUGAUGGAGUUAAUAGUACAAUACAUUCCAUUGGUCAAAGAGAGGGUCACGUGUUGUGAUCCAACAGAUGUCAUUUCCAAAAAGACAGACUUCUUGUCUUAUUCAGUAGCUCAGUGACAUGUUUUUAUGAGCAUACAUCAUUUGACAUUUCCUAAUAAUAACCAUCAAUUUUCUAUUUGACGUUAGUUAACUUAAAGGGAAUUUAAAGACUUGGCAAAUUUAAGUAAUUGAUUCAAAAUGUAAGAUUAAUCGACCUUUUUGCGUCUGACUAUUUUCCUGAACAGAAUCGCAUCUGAUGUAACAUAAGCUAAAACUGAUGACAGAUGCUGUCUAAGUAGCCAAUGACAGAGACUGUCUUACCUAGCCAAUGAAAAAAGACGGUCUUAGUGACCAAUGACAAAAACUGUCUUAAGUAGCCAAUAAACGAGGUUGUCAUUCGUAACCAAUGACAUAGUUGCAAUUAUUUGACGAAAAAAAGAGUGCAACAAAGUGUUCAAAUAGCAAUUUUAUACGAUUUAUUGUUAUUGAUUGCUGAGAUAUAUAUAUGUAUACAACUUGAAUAAGAAAUUUAUCUGUACUUAUCAUGUUAUUCGUCGUUGACCUAUGAAAUUUUUUAAACAUUUCGUUAGAAAUGGCGUGUGUUUGUUACUGGAUUGUUGUUUUUUAUUUUUAUAUAUGUACUCGACCUUCUGUGUGUGACCACCCAACUGAUCUACAUAACUAAUACAACCAAUGAAAGAGCAUUAUCAUGGUUUAUUUGAACAAAGGAUAUUGUGAAAAUGCAGAUUUUUUUUACAACUCUUAUAUGACAAAUCUAAAUAAAUUCUUUACGGCUUAUUUAGGUAUCAUACAAAAUGUGAUAUCAGAUAAAAAAGGAAUAAUUACAUUGUUACACACCAGCUAGUGUUGAAUGUUUGCUCUUUUGAGAAAUUCCAUUACUUUAUUAAUUCAUCUAACUAAAUUGUCUUCCUUAAACAAUUGUUACAAAUCUUUUUUCUGGUUUUGAGGUACAUGUGUUUAUGAUAUGGAGAGUAAACGGGGUUUAUAAUACAUGUAUUUGAAAAGUGUUGUGAUGAUCUCCCAUAGCAACCAGAAAGUUGUUGAUAUUCACCAAGUGUAAAUAAAACGUUAAUUUGAAUUUCCUCUACAAUAAACUUUUUGAUUUCCUAUUCU
rnacentral:misc_RNA from 1 species